rnacentral:lncRNA from 1 species
GAUACGUAUUCGGAGAGUAUCCAAAUAUUAAAUUUUAUUUUUAAAAAAAAUAAUUAUCCGAUACUUUCCGAUACAUCCCGAUACGCACGGAUACUUGUGUUUUUUAUAUUAUUUUGAUUUCUGUUUUUUUUUUGUGUAAAAAAUAAGAAUAAAUUACUAUAAUAUAUAUACAUUUUCUUUAUCUUUCUUUGGUGCCCGUACGACCCACACCACACCAC